rnacentral:rRNA from 1 species
CCUACGGGAGGCAGCAGUGGGGAAUUUUGGACAAUGGGCGCAAGCCUGAUCCAGCCAUGCCGCGUGCGGGAAGAAGGCCUUCGGGUUGUAAACCGCUUUUGUCAGGGAAGAAAUCCCUUGAGCUAAUACCUCGGGGGGAUGACGGUACCUGAAGAAUAAGCACCGGCUAACUACGUGCCAGCAGCCGCGGUAAUACGUAGGGUGCAAGCGUUAAUCGGAAUUACUGGGCGUAAAGCGUGCGCAGGCGGUUAUGUAAGACAGGUGUGAAAUCCCCGGGCUUAACCUGGGAACUGCACUUGUGACUGCAUAGCUUGAGUGCGGCAGAGGGGGAUGGAAUUCCGCGUGUAGCAGUGAAAUGCGUAGAUAUGCGGAGGAACACCGAUGGCGAAGGCAAUCCCCUGGGCCUGCACUGACGCUCAUGCACGAAAGCGUGGGGAGCAAACAGGAUUAGAUACCCUGGUAGUCCACGCCCUAAACGAUGUCAACUGGUUGUUGGACGGCUUGCUGUUCAGUAACGUAGCUAACGCGUGAAGUUGACCGCCUGGGGAGUACGGCCGCAAGGUUGAAACUCAAAUGAAAUUGACGG